rnacentral:rRNA from 1 species
CGGAACAUUUUUACUUUUAGUGGCGGACGGGUGAGUAACGCGUGGGUAACCUGCCUUAUACAGGGGGAUAACACUUAGAAAUAAGGUGCUAAGACCGCAUAAGCGCCCAGGGCCGCAUGGCCCAGGGUGAAAAACUCCGGUGGUAUAAGAUGGGCCCGCGUCUGAUUAGCCAGUUGGCAGGGUAACGGCCUACCAAAGCGACGAUCAGUAGCCGGCCUGAGAGGGUGGACGGCCACAUUGGGACUGAGACACGGCCCAAACUCCUACGGAAGGCAGCAG